rnacentral:rRNA from 1 species
CCUACGGGAGGCAGCAGUAGGGAAUUUUCGGCAAUGGGGGAAACCCUGACCGAGCAACGCCGCGUGAACGAAGAAGGUAUUCGGAAUGUAAAGUUCUUCUAACAGGGACGAAAGAGAAAUUAGACGGUACCUGACGAAUAAGCUCCGGCGAACUACGUGCCAGCAGCCGCGUUAAUACGUAGGGAGCGAGCGUUAUCCGGAUUUAUUGGGCGUAAGGGGUGCGUAGAGGGGAUAGUAAGUCUUUGGUAAAAAUGCGGGGCUACACCCAGUAGGGAAAAAGAUACUGCAAAGCUAGAGUAAGACAGAGGCAAGGGGAACUACAUGUGUAGCGGUAAAAUGCGUAAAUAUAUGUAAGAACACCAGUGGCGAAGGCGGCUUGCUGGGUCGAUACUGACAUUGAGGCACGAAAGCGUGGGGAGCAAACAGGAUUAGAUACCCUAGUAGUC